GGGAAUGUGGCUUAGUGGUAGAGUGCUUGCCUAGCAUGCAUGAAGCCCUGGGUUCCAUUCCUCAGCACCA
rfam:Dipodomys ordii contig_7530, whole genome shotgun sequence.